UACAGAGGUUGCGAGCGUUAAUCGGAUUUACUGGGCGUAAAGGGCGCGUAGGUGGUAAGGCAAGUAAGAUGUGAAAUCCCUGGGCUUAACCUAGGAAGUGCAUCUUAAACUGCUUAACUAGAGUAUGGUAGAGGGUAGUGGAAUUUCCGGUGUAGCGGUGAAAUGCGUAGAGAUCGGAAGGAACGCCAGUGGUGAAGACGACUACCUGGACCAAUACUGACACUGAGGCGCGAGAGCGUGGGGAGCAAACAGG
rnacentral:rRNA from 1 species